rnacentral:rRNA from 1 species
AGGGAAUCUUCCACAAUGGACGAAAGUCUGAUGGAGCAACGCCGCGUGAGUGAUGAAGGGUUUCGGCUCGUAAAACUCUGUUGUUGGAGAAGAACAGGUGUGAGAGUAACUGUUCACAUCUUGACGGUAUCCAACCAGAAAGCCACGGCUAACUACGUGCCAGCAGCCGCGGUAAUACGUAGGUGGCAAGCGUUGUCCGGAUUUAUUGGGCGUAAAGCGAGCGCAGGCGGUUUUCUUAGGUCUGAUGUGAAAGCCUUCGGCUUAACCGGAGAAGUGCAUCGGAAACCAG